ACCUUGCUGACGAGUGCGAAGUAGCACGAAACCCGGGUCCAAGGU
rfam:Schistosoma haematobium scaffold1121_15, whole genome shotgun sequence.